UGCCCAUGGGCCCACUUGUCAAUCUCUCUCUCUCUCUUCUUCUUCCUCUCUUUGUCUGUUCAUCUCUUUCUCAUUGCGCCGCCGCCGAGCUCUGCCGUGGCCAUGAAGCAGCAUCAGCAGCAGGAGGCUACGGCCUGUUCAUCAGAACAGCAGAUUGUUCCAUGGCUGAAGCACAACAAGAAGUCGCAGCAGCAGCGAAAGGGUACUGGUCUUCUCCCUCCUCGCCGUCGUCGAUGUCCCCCACUCCGUCACCUCCACCGGCGGCAGCUGUCCAUGGAGGCGGAGGAAGAGCGGAGGAGUCCACCAUCGCCGCCGCUGCAACGCCAGCCGCACGGAGUUUGGCUGCAGGGGACAACGGCAUGCAGGUGAGUGGCCAUGGCGAGCAUGCUGGGUUGAGCUCCGGGCGGCGUCGUGGCCGGCAAAAAGGAUCCGGGCGGCGCCAGAUCCUUGCCAAUCUAGGUCAGUACAUCGCCGUCCACCCGCGUGCGCACUCGCCAUGGCCAGCGGCAGUGGCGCUGGCGCCGGCCUUCCACUCGAAGAGCUAGGGCUUGACGGUGCUGUACUCGACGCGCUCUGGCGAUGCGCCGCCGCCGCCGCCCCGCCACCGUCGCGCCUCUGCUCCGCUGCGAGGAAGAAGGGGAAAAGAAAAGAAGAGAGAGAGAGGAAGCCGUGCGCCGGGAUGCCGCCAUGCGUCGUCACCGUCGGCGGUGAACCCUGGCGAUGCGCCGCUGCCGCCGCCCCGCUGUGGCCGCCGUCGCGCCUCUGCUCCGCUGCGAGGAAGAAGGGGAAAAGAAAAGAAGAGAGAGAGGAAGAACAGUGUCAAAGGGUUAUUUUGUGUUCACGAGCAAAUACACGUUUUUGGGUGUCUCACAGCAAAGGCCACAAUCUUUCGGUGUCCUGUAGCAAAUUUUGCCUAAAUUAAAUUUAUGUAUCAUAUACUGCUA